rnacentral:rRNA from 1 species
UACGAAGGGGGCUAGCGUUGCUCGGAAUCACUGGGCGUAAAGCGCACGUAGGCGGCUUUUUAAGUCAGGGGUGAAAUCCUGGAGCUCAACUCCAGAACUGCCUUUGAUACUGGGAAGCUUGAGUCCGGGAGAGGUGAGUGGAACUCCGAGUGUAGAGGUGAAAUUCGUAGAUAUUCGGAAGAACACCAGUGGCGAAGGCGACUCACUGGACACGUAUUGACGCUGAGGUGCGAAAGCGUGGGGAGCAAACAGG